GACGAACGCUGGCGGCGUGCUUAACACAUGCAAGUCGAACGGAAAGGCCCUGCUUUUGUGGGGUGCUCGAGUGGCGAACGGGUGAGUAACCCGUGAGUAACCUGCCCUUGACUUUGGGAUAACUUCAGGAAACUGGGGCUAAUACCGGAUAGGAGCUCCUUCUGCAUGGUGGGGGUUGGAAAGUUUCGGCGGUUGGGGAUGGACUCGCGGCUUAUCCGCUUGUUGGUGGGGUAGUGGCUUACCAAGGCUUUGACGGGUAGCCGGCCUGAGAGGGUGACCGGCCACAUUGGGACUGAGAUACGGCCCAGACUCCUACGGGAGGCAGCAGUGGGGAAUAUUGCACAAUGGGCGGAAGCCUGAUGCAGCAACGCCGCGUGCGGGAUGACGGCCUUCGGGUUGUAAACCGCUUUCGCCUGUGACGAAGCGUGAGUGACGGUAAUGGGUAAAGAAGCACCGGCUAACUACGUG
rnacentral:rRNA from 1 species